rnacentral:lncRNA from 1 species
GGAAAUAAGAGGAAGUGAUGGAAAAUAUUGAAGAGAAAGGAAAGGAAGGUGUUAUAAAUUUAGUUAUCAACAUUUACACUAAAAUAGUUUUGAGACAGUAGCAGUAUUCUGCCUUUGAAAAUUCAUCAAAAAUCGUAGAAAUUGAAUUAGAGGAUGAAAAAAAUAUAAAAAGAAAAGCUUAUUGAGUCUAGUUUCUCAUAGAAGAAACAGUGUAAGUAAUGGAAUUGUAAAUAAUGAGAUAUAAUAAAUUUUGUGAGACAAGGUCAGAAUGAAUUCGGAUUCCC